UACGUAGGUCGCAAGCGUUGUCCGGAUUUACUGGGCGUAAAGAGCGCGCAGGCGGCUGGUCAAGUCCGAUGUGAAAUCUCCCGGCUCAACUGGGAAACUGCAUCGGAAACUGAUCGGCUUGAAGAUGGGAGAGGGUAGUGGAAUUCCCGGUGUAGUGGUGAAAUGCGUAGAGAUCGGGAGGAACAUCAGUGGCGAAGGCGGCCCUCUGGACCAGCACUGACGCUGAGGCACGAAAGCGUGGGGAGCAAACAGG
rnacentral:rRNA from 1 species